GCGAGAACUCAAAAAUAUUAAGAAUAAGCUCUAUACCACAAAAAAAAAUCCUUGCUGACUCCAGAGACAUUAGAGUCUCUUCUUGUUCUUGCAACCUCUACCCUCUUCACUCAAAAACUUGCAAACUUCGCCUUCCCUUUAUCAUACAUUGUCUCCCAACUCCUUUACUCAGGUCCUCCCUCUCCAUAUAUACUUGUAUCUGAGAAGUUUAUAUAUAGUCUUACAUGGGUUUAAUUUAUUUUGUUGUGUACUGCAAAGGUAUCAUGGUUCGUUUCCUUGCUGUAGAAGAGGCAUUUAGUUUAUUGUUCGGGCUGAGCAAUCAUUGGCUCAACCUCAAGGUUGCAUCCUUCUGACAUUUGUUCUGAGAAGAUCACGUCCAAUCUUCAAUGAAAAGCUGAAUGUAUAGUGAUGCUGUUGGAAGAGCAUCUCCAUAGAGAUAAAAGACUUCUACUGGACUCAGUUUUAAGUAAUAAUAUAACUUUUCUACGACUGAAAAUGAAACAUGUAAUUCAAACAAGUUGAAACAAACAGGAUAUUACUUGUUUUAAUGAAUAAUGUGAAGUCUGUUGAUGUUGAUGAAAUUGUUAGACGAUAAAAUCUCAAUGGAACUUGAUUGAUUUGGAAA